UAAGUGAUGUUUGGGAAGGAAAUUGUGAUAAGUUUUGAGAAUUUCUCAUCUUAUUUCAUUACUCAAACGUACCCUUAAACUAGUUUACCUUUAUAUACUUCUAAAUGUAGCCUUUUUGUUCAAUUGGCUUUCCCCCUUUUUUCUCGCCCUUUUCUUUCCGCCAUCCCUCAAAAUAGGUUAGCAGGGCCCUGUACAUAGAACUAGGGGUGCUAUCUGCACCCCCUGAGGCAGGGGAAACUGCAUCCCGCACCCCGCACCCGCCCUAGCGGGGGAUGUGGUUUCCCCUUGGGAUCCGGCUCUGCCCCUAGGGGGCCCCCGUCCAGGGCAAAUGGACCUAGGGCCCAUUGGGCUCAGAACCUCUUUCUGGGCCAUUUUGGGCCCAUACUAUCAAGGAUUGUAGAUUAGAUCAUUGAGAAUUUGCAUUUAGGGUUGGAACUUGGGCAAGUGAGGGUGUGAGACUAUAAAACUUGAAAA